rnacentral:rRNA from 1 species
UACGUAGGGGGCAAGCGUUGUCCGGAUUUAUUGGGCGUAAAGAGCGUGUAGGCGGCCAGGUAGGUCCGCUGUGAAAGUCAAAGGCUCAACCUUUGAAUGUCAGCGGAUACUGCCGGGCUAGAGUCCGGAAGAGGCGAGUGGAACUCCUGGUGUAGCGGUGGAAUGCGCAGAUAUCAGGAAGAACACCAACGGCGAAGGCAGCUCGCUGGGACGGAACUGACGCUAAGGCGCGAAAGCGUGGGGAGCGAACAGG